UGUGAUGGUAUUGUCAACCUGACAACUAACCUGGGGGUUGUAUCUCUAGGCGUGCACAUGCCUAUGUCGAUUGUCUCGUGUGGUAUUGGCCCCCACACUCUCAUGGGGAGUGGCACCAUCAGGGGGCGUGGCUUUGUAGGAGUGGGUGUGGCCUUGUGAGAGGAAGUGUGCCACUGUGGGGCGGGUUUUGAGGGUUUUUGUGUGUGUGUAAGCUUUGCCCAGUGUCACAGUCAGUUGACUUCUGUUGCCCUGCGAGAUGGGGGACUCUCAUCUCCGGCACCACGUCUGCCUGCGAGCCGCCAUGCUCCCCCACCAUGAUGACAAUGGACUAAACCCCUGAAACUAUUCCGUGUCGUCGGGCCCAAAGGAAGCUCCAGUUCCCCUACCUGCAAAAGGCAGCCCGAACAUCCAGAAAUGAGCCCAACCUGGACUAUCGGAGGGUUUCUGGCAGCAAGAUAAAAACAGAAAGGUGACUAAGGCAGCAUCCUCCCAAAGUUUUCUUCCCUGCAUUGGUGCAAAAACAUCGCCACCUUGUGGAAGUCGUUUCCCCUGGAUUUAGUGUCUUCGGUUACGCAAGAAUGAGGCUCCCUUUGUGACCAUUCUCUCACCCUGCCUCUUGCCAAGUUCCCAGUAGGAUCCAUCAGGGUGAAAACCAAUCCCUCUAAGUGAGCUGCCCCUCCACACCACCCUACCUGUGUACUUAGGGUGGGGGGACUCCGAUCCCCGAUCAGGACUGGGCACUCAGCUCCCUGGGUGCUCCAAGCACAGGGCGUGUCAGAAAGAAACUUUUCUUCCUGAAUCUGGAAGGGCAGGAGGCUAAGGGUGUUGAAGCUGCUUGUCAACGCAGGGGAGAAAGGAGCUGAUGUUGACAGUGCCGAACCAGGGCUGGAGAAACAUCACACAUGCUGAGGCAAGACUGAGAGCUGCCUGAAGUCUGGAACUUUCCCCUUGGCUUCACACAUGUUGCGAAUGUACAGUCAAUCUCCUUUUCCUCGUUAAAGAAGCGAACAGAUGCCUUCCUCUCUAGCAUCUUCAUAACGUUGGUUUUCAGGUCACUCUCCUGUGCAUCGGCUGUGAGGGAAUACUCUCGGCUUGCAGGAGCAGAGUAUCUGGGCUCUGCUGCUGACACAGUGUCCUUGCUGUUGCUGAUUCUUACGCCGGAGCCUAGGCAUCUUGGGUAAAUUAGAGGUCUAAGUGCCGAUGUCUGAGCUUGUCUUUUUUGGAUCGGCGUCUUGUCCCUUGGUUUCUGGUUUCUUCCUGCUCCUCCGGCCAGUGUGACCUGUGCUUGAGCACAGGGUCUCUUCUUGAGUUGAGGCUGGACUUCUGAUGGUUGAUGGUCUGGGUGGCCUCUGGUUGAGCAGGGGACCUCCAGUGGCGUUGGGGGAUGGGCUUUGAUGAUGAGUCCACCGGUAUGCAGCCUACCUGGAAUUCAGUCAGCCAGCGUGGAUCAGGGGUCCUAAACAUUUUUUUAAAAGGAAGAAAGAAGGAGGGACAGGAAAAUACCUGGAGAAAAUAAGAGGGAGAACCAGUAGGACGGCUCAGCGGGUAAGAGAGCCUGCUGCCCAGCCCGAGGACCUGAAUUUAACCCUAGGAGCCUAGAACUCGGGAGGAGAGAAGAGCCACAAGAUGCCCCUUGACCUCCGCACAUGCUCUGUGACAUACAUGCCCACAAGAUAAGCAAAUAAA